AUUUGUCUGGUUAAUUCCGAUAACGAACGAGACCUUAACCUGCUAACUAGUUCUUUUAGUUUGACUGAAAGUAACUUCUUAGAGGGACUGUGCGUAUUAAGCGCAUGGAAGUUUGAGGCAAUAACAGGUCUGUGAUGCCCUUAUAUGUCCUGGGCUGCACGCGUGCUACACUGAUGCAUACAGCAAGUGCCUAACCAGUCAUGGCAUGGCAAUCUCCAAUAUGCAUCGUGAUGGGGAUAGAUCUUUGCAAUUAUAGAUCUUGAACGAGGAAUUCCUAGUAAGUGCAAGUCAUCAUCUUGCAUUGAUUAUGUCCCUGCCCUUUGUACACACCGCCCGUCGCUCCUACCGAUACCGGGUGGUUCGGUGAACCUUUUGGAUCUCCAACGAGGAAAGAUAAGUAAAUCAUAUCACCUAGAGGAAGGAGAAGUCGUAACAAGGUUUCCGUAGGUGAACCUGCRGAAGGAUCA
rnacentral:rRNA from 1 species